rnacentral:rRNA from 1 species
AGGGAAUCUUCCACAAUGGGCGCAAGCCUGAUGGAGCAACACCGCGUGAGUGAAGAAGGGUUUCGGCUCGUAAAACUCUGUUGUUAAAGAAGAACGUAUCUAAGAGUAACUGCUUAGGUAGUGACGGUAUUUAACCAGAAAGCCACGGCUAACUACGUGCCAGCAGCCGCGGUAAUACGUAGGUGGCAAGCGUUAUCCGGAUUUAUUGGGCGUAAAGCGAGCGCAGGCGGUUUUUUAAGUCUGAUGUGAAAGCCUUCGGCUUAACCGAAGAAGUGCAUCGGAAACUGGGAAACUUGAGUGCAGAAGAGGACAGUGGAACUCCAUGUGUAGCGGUGAAAUGCGUAGAUAUAUGGAAGAACACCAGUGGCGAAGGCGGCUGUCUGGUCUGUAACUGACGCUGAGGCUCGAAAGCAUGGGUAGCGAAC